UGUGCUGGAAAGCGUUUUCAGUUGGAUCCAAGCAGCUUCAUUGCCAGGCUGCAGUGCUGUACCAAAUGAGAAUAAUUUCAAAUGAACUGACUCCCGCAGGCAAAUGUGACAGCCAAAUUGCACCAGAAAUAUCCCACUAGCAACAGAGAGAACACCGUAGAUGCACACUUCUUCACUCUCUGCCCUUCGCUCUCACUCCUGGAGGCGUAACAUCAGCGUCAUCAUGCACGGCAGCGAGGCAGGUGUGUGUGGGUUGGGGGUUGACAGAGGAAAGAACAUUGCCUGACCACAUGGGGGUAAUCAACAACUGGAACAGUUUGCAGAUGGUAGGCCAGGACGCCGGACUCAUUUAAAAAGAAGCUUGAAGCAGUGAUGAGGUCGGUAGGGUGGGUGUUCUGGAGGGAUGGAAUCGGAUGGGCCAAAGAAGUUACUUCUUCCAAACUAAUCUUGUGAUUCUGUGAUCUAAAAAAUAAUGAAGUGCUUUG